CCCGCUGAACUUAAGCAUAUCAGUAAGCGGAGGAAAAGAAACUAACAAGGAUUCCCCUAGUAACUGCGAGUGAAGCGGGAAAAGCUCAAAUUUAAAAUCUGGCAGUCUCUGGCUGUCCGAGUUGUAAUCUAGAGAAGCAUUAUCCGCGCUGGACCGUGUACAAGUCUCCUGGAAUGGAGCGUCAUAGAGGGUGAGAAUCCCGUCUUUGACACGGACUGCCAGGGCUUUGUGAUGUGCUCUUAAAGAGUCGAGUUGUUUGGGAAUGCAGCUCAAAAUGGGUGGUAAAUUCCAUCUAAAGCUAAAUAUUGGCGAAAGACCGAUAGCGAACAAGUACCGUGAGGGAAAGAUGAAAAGAACUUUGGAAAGAAAAUUAAACCGUACGGGAAAUUGGUGAAAGGGAAACGCUUGAAGUCCGUCCCGUCGUUCGGGAGUCAGCUUCAGCUUCUGCUGGGUGUACUUCUUGUUCGACGGGUCAGCUUCAGUUUUGGCCGGUGGAUAAAGGCUCGGGGAAUGUGGCAUCUUGGGAUGUGUUAUAGCCCUGGGUCGCAUACAUCGGCUGGGACUGAGGAACUCACCACGCCGCAGGGCCAGGUUUCGACCAUGUUCGUGCUUAGGAUGCUGGCAUAAUGGCUUUAAUCGACCCGUCUUGAAACACGG
rnacentral:rRNA from 1 species